rnacentral:snoRNA from 1 species
UCUGAGGAAUGAUGACACAAAAGGCCGAAUUGCAGUGCCUCCCCUGGCAGGUUUCUCUGUGUGGAAGGUGCGAUGACAAAACUCCUUGAAGCGAAUUGACAACUGACCUCAGC